rnacentral:rRNA from 1 species
AGCGAACGCUGGCGGCAGGCUUAACACAUGCAAGUCGAGCGGGCACUUUCGGGUGUCAGCGGCGGACGGGUGAGUAACGCGUGGGAACGUGCCCUCUGGUUCGGAAUAACUCAGGGAAACUUGAGCUAAUACCGGAUACGCCCUUUUGGGGAAAGGCUUGCUGCCGGAGGAUCGGCCAGCGUCUGAUUAGCUAGUUGGUGAGGUAACGGCUCACCAAGGCGACGAUCAGUAGCUGGUCUGAGAGGAUGAUCAGCCACACUGGGACUGAGACACGGCCCAGACUCCUACGGGAGGCAGCAGUGGGGAAUAUUGGACAAUGGGCGCAAGCCUGAUCCAGCCAUGCCGCGUGAGUGAUGAAGGCCUUAGGGUUGUAAAGCUCUUUUAUCCGGGACGAUAAUGACGGUACCGGAGGAAUAAGCCCCGGCUAACUUCGUG